CUGAACAUCAUUCACAAUCAUUAGUAAAUAUUGUUAAAAAUAUGAUUUUAAUGAUUGCUCCAUAUGAAUGUGCUCAGUCUUACUUACGUAAGAUUAUUAAGUUGACCAUUUCGCCUAUUUCUAAUUUCCAGCUAUUAAAAAUAACUCUGUUAUGAAUAUUCUCUAACAUAAAUCUUUGACCAUCUGUGAUUAUCUCCCCAGGCUAAACUCCUAGAAGUGGGAAUACAGAAUGAAAGUUCUGAUUAUUUUUAAAAUUUCUGAUAUAUAUAGUGCUGAUUUGCCCUCUGGAAAGAUUGCUUCCGAUUUGCAACUCCAACUGCUGAAUUUUGAACUGCUUCUUCAGGCCCUGUUCUCAGUGAAAUCCACCUCUUACAGAUUGUAAAAAUCCUACUUAGGAGCUUGAAGAUGCAGAACAGGCACUGACAACACUCCGUCAAAGCUCUCCCACAGGAAGGACUUCUGAUGGGCGUGGCUGGGUAACUCAUUCAUAGCACAGCACGAAGAUGAGAGGUGACCCUGCGUCUAUUGGAAUCAGAUUAGAGCAAAUUGCUCAUUAUUGUCAGGCGGAUGGAGACCUUGUGACAAAUGGGAGGACACUGGAGUUAGAAAUGACUGCCUGCAAGAAGGUUUGUGACAGUGAAAAGAUGAGGAAGGCGAAAGAGCAAAGGCCCUCAGUGGCUGGCAGGCUCCCUGCCUUCCCCCAGCUCAGCUUUCCCUCGCUUUGACAAGCCUGUUAGUUCAGCUCUGGCUGGCUUGAAAAUUCUUCGAGAUCUCAACCAGAUUCUCAUUGCCCUACCUCUGCCCCGUGCACUUGAACUUACAUGCUUUCAGAAUAGCAGGAGAGUUCGGUGGAACAAUUGGAAUUAGUUUUCUAAAGGGCCAUCCAUUCAAAAGAUAUGUUUCUCCUUUCUGGCAACAAAGUGAUGAGGUCAUGAUUCUGAGAUGAGGCAAAACUGUGAAGACAGCUGUGUUUCUCUGUGGCUAAAGGUGGGGACUCUGGAAUCAGAAUGCCCACUGGUUAGUGGUGUAACUUUGCGGAUGUCACCUAACCGCUCUAUACCUUAGCUUCCUCCACCUGCCCAAAGGUCAGAGUGCUAAUAUCUAUUUCUUAUGAUAGUUUGAAGAUUCGAAGAGAUAAUAUACACACAGCAGUGUGCUGGGCAUAGGUACAGCCUCAGUCUCAGGAAGCGGCAUAGAUCUCCGUUCUCACUUCCCCGUCUCCAAAGGACCGAUACGUCUACUCCCAUUGAGAUAGGGCUAUCAUAAGUGCAGAGGAGGGUUCAGAGGGAGUGUAAAGAGGAGACUGAGGGCAUUUGGGAAGGCAUUGUGGAGAACACUCUUCCAUCACGGCCCGUUAGCCUCUCUCUAGUCUGCUCAGCCUCAUGCUCCUCUCGGUUGACCUGUUUCUGAGUUGCUCUGCUUUCAGCAUGCUGGCUCGGCUCAUUUAUCUUUUCCUUCUGGUUUAGGAAAGGGAAGAAUCGCUUCCUGACACAGUGCUUCAAGGGGAAUUGUCAUUUACACACUGAUUCAUUCAUUCAUUCAUUCAAUUGUUCCAAAAAUAUUUAUUGGAUACCUGCUCUCUGGGCUACAAUAAUGACAUAAGGAGAUGAGUAAAAUGCAGACUGUAUUCUGAGCAGGCUCAGGGUUUAUUGAAAUAGGGAGAUAUUUCAAUAGAAUGAAGAAGACUGUUACCAAGCAAAACAAAACAAAACAAAACAAAAAAAUCACUGACCUCUUUCUCUAUAUAGCCUUUUUCGGCUUCCUUUUUAAAAAACAUCUGCCUCGUCUCCCAGCUGCUGGUAGAGGCAGAACAUCAACAUUCAACAUAAAAAGCUGUGGCUUACAGUCAAAUUGUGGAACAUCUAGCAGAAAAUCCUUUUGGAGUUCUUAAAGCGAGUAACUCUUUUCCUGCCCCAGUCUCUCAGAAUGCACUGGCAUUCGCUCCUAGUGAGCCCCCUCCCCAUUUUUAUGUUGAAAGGAAAAUAUGUCAACUUUAAGGAAAAAUUUGUGAAGUUUGAACGGGAUCUAAUUCCAAUGUUCGGAAGUAUUAAUUUCUAGACAAAAUUCUCCAUAAGGUUAUCAUGAUAAAUUCCCUAAUUCUAUUACGUUUGACUGCAUUUUUGGUUGUAUGGCCUAUUUUGUCUUAAGGUUGAGAUCGUUUCUCAUUGGUCUGAGUUAAAAUGAUUCCUUUCUCCCUUAUCCAUGGAGCUUUGUCACAGGGGCUAUGACUUGGAGGCUUGACAGAAGUGGUAAACACCAGAAUGGCAUCUAGCGAAAUAUCAUGAAUGAGUUCUACUCCACUGACACUCUCAGACCAGUACCUCCCCUAACAGUGUGGUGACUCAGACAGAGUCAGACAUGGCAUGUACUUAAAGAAUGUUAUUUGAGAACAGCACCAACAUAUAGGCCUAAGAAGGACAAAAGUUCUUUGCCAACAACUUGCUCUUAGGGUAAGUAGACAACCCUCCAGGGGAACAAUAAAUAAAAGCGAUGCGCACUUCUGACUUGGGAG
rnacentral:lncRNA from 1 species